rnacentral:rRNA from 1 species
GAUGAACGCUAGCGGCAGGCUUAACACAUGCAAGUCGAGGGGCAGCAUGGAGAGUAGCAAUACUCUCUGAUGGCGACCGGCGCAAGGGUGCGUAACGCGUGAGCAACUUGCCCUCAUCAGGGGAAUAAUCGCUGGAAACGGCGUCUAAUGCCCCAUGGUGAUGGAAUCAGGCAUCUGAUUUCAUCUAAAGAUCCGUCGGAUGAGGAUAGGCUCGCGUGACAUUAGCUAGACGGCGGGGUAACGGCCCACCGUGGCGACGAUGUCUAGGGGUUCUGAGAGGAAGGUCCCCCACACUGGAACUGAGACACGGUCCAGACUCCUACGGGAGGCAGCAGUGAGGAAUAUUGGUCAAUGGCCGGAAGGCUGAACCAGCCAUGCCGCGUGAAGGUCAGUGCCCUAUGGGCGUUAAACUUCUUUUGUGCGGGAGCAAUAAGGGCCACGCGUGGCCUGACGAGAGUACCGUACGAAUAAGCAUCGGCUAACUCCGUGCCAGCAGCCGCGGUAAUACGGGGGAUGCAAGCGUUAUCCGGAUUUAUUGGGUUUAAAGGGUGCGUAGGCUGUGAGGUAAGUCAGCGGUGAAAUGCCCCCGCUCAACGGGGUGAAGUGCCAUUGAUACUGCCUUGCUGGAAUGCGGAUGCCGUGGGAGGAAUGUGUGGUGUAGCGGUGAAAUGCAUAGAUAUCACACAGAACACCGAUUGCGAAGGCAUCUCACGAAUCCGCGAUUGACGCUGAUGCACGAAAGCGUGGGUAUCAAACAGGAUUAGAUACCCUGGUAGUCCACGCUGUAAACGAUGAUGACUAACCGUCGGCGAUACACAGUCGGUGGCCAAGCGAAAGCGAUAAGUCAUCCACCUGGGGAGUACGGCCGCAAGGCUGAAACUCAAAGGAAUUGACGGGGGCCCGCACAAGCGGAGGAACAUGUGGUUUAAUUCGAUGAUACGCGAGGAACCUUACCCGGGCUCGAACGGCAGCUGAAUAUGCCAGAGAUGGUAUAGUCUUCGGACAGUUGUCGAGGUGCUGCAUGGUUGUCGUCAGCUCGUGCUGUGAAGUGUCGGCUUAAGUGCCAUAACGAGCGCAACCCUUGCCUUCAGUUGCCAUCAGGUAAAGCUGGGGACUCUGGAGGGACUGCCACCGCAAGGUGCGAGGAAGGGGGGGAUGACGUCAAAUCAGCACGGCCCUUACGUCCGGGGCGACACACGUGUUACAAUGGCAGGUACAGAGGGGUGCUACCGGGUGACCGGAUGCCGAUCUCGAAAACCUGUCCCAGUUCGGACUGGAGUCUGCAACCCGACUCCACGAAGUUGGAUUCGCUAGUAAUCGCGCAUCAGCCAUGGCGCGGUGAAUACGUUCCCGGGCCUUGUACACACCGCCCGUCAAGCCAUGGGAGCCGGGGGCGCCUGAAGUCCGGGACCGCGAGGACCGGCCUAGGGCGAAACUGGUGACUGGGGCUAAGUCGUAACAAGGUAGCCGUACCGGAAGGUGUGGCUGGAACACCUCCUUUUUGGUGGCUUUGGAUUGACGCGAGCUUUUCGUGAGUGUGUCGAGUAGCGGUACAGCCGCUUGUAUUUCACCGGUCUUUUUCAGAUAUACGGCGUCCGCAGCCGUGAGAGCGGAAAGAAGUUCACUGACAAUACUGAGAGAGAUAACGAGGUAAAGAAGAUAGAAAUUAGAAAGUCUGUAUCAGAUAAUACACGAGUCAAUUCGUAUAUGUCUGUUGCGGCACAAUUUCAAGGCAACGAGAAUUAAAAUGAGAUCAGGUGCGAGUCGCACAUGGUCCGUGGUUCAAAGAACGAAGAGAGAAGGAUACAAGAGCGAACGGUGGAUGCCUAGGCUUCUGGAGGCGACGAAGGACGCGGUAAGCUGCGAAAAUCUCCGGGAAACAGCAAACAUGUAAUGAUCCGGAGGUGUCCGAAUGGGGCAACCCGGCUGGCUGAAGGCCAGUCACCGCAGAUAUGCGGGGCGAACGCGGGGAACUGAAACAUCUCAGUACCCGCAGGAAGAGAAAGAAAUUAUCGAUUCCCUGAGUAGUGGCGAUCGAAAGGGGAAGAGCCCAAACCGGCUGCGUUACGGCGCGGUCGGGGUUGUAGGGCCGCCAACAAGAGUUCAUGACGUGAACUGGAACCGUCUGGAAAGUCGGUCCGCAGAGGGUGACAGACCCGUACAGGCAAGCGUCAUGCGCCGGAGGCGGUACCUGAGUAGGGCGGGACACGUGCAAUCCUGUCCGAAUCCGCGGGGACCAUCCCGCAAGGCUAAAUACUCCCGGAAGACCGAUAGUGAACC